rnacentral:rRNA from 1 species
GACGAACGCUGGCGGCGUGCUUAACACAUGCAAGUCGAACGGAAAGGCCCUGCUUUUGUGGGGUGCUCGAGUGGCGAACGGGUGAGUAACACGUGAGUAACCUGCCCUUGACUUUGGGAUAACUUCAGGAAACUGGGGCUAAUACCGGAUAGGAGCUCCUGCUGCAUGGUGGGGGUUGGAAAGUUUCGGCGGUUGGGGAUGGACUCGCGGCUUAUCAGCUUGUUGGUGGGGUAGUGGCUUACCAAGGCUUUGACGGGUAGCCGGCCUGAGAGGGUGACCGGCCACAAUGGGACUGAGGGACGGACCAGACUCCUACGGGAGGCAGCAGGGGGGAAUAUUGCACAAUGGGCGGAAGCCUGAUGCAGCAACGCCGCGUGCGGGAAGACGGCCUUCGGGGUGGAAACCGCUUUAGGCUGUGACGAAGCGGGAGUGACGGUAAUGGGUAAAGAAGCACCGGCUAACUACGUG